GUUUGGGGGCUUUUUUGAGUGUUCAGGUUGGUGCCUGGUGUUGAGUCCAAGUCCUGAGCAGGAGAGGAACAGGUAGCAAAGGAUGUAGGGUGGGAGUGCCAAAUGUGCUGGCAUUUGAUGGCUGAUUCAGGCUGCUGAGGGAGUUAUCUUUAACCAGCCAAAUACCUGUGAAAUACUGUAAACACUCAGAUUCUGGAACAUAAUUUACAGCCCAAAGUGUUUACACAGCAAAAGGGAUACAGGAGAACCAACAUUAAUGCAAACCAGAUCCUUUUGUAGGCUAAACCAAGGAAUAAUCCCAAUGCAAAACAUACAAAAAGGUUUUAAUUUGGCUUAUAAUUGGAAGGUUGGAAUCUCUAAUGAAUUUCGUAACUUUUAGUCUUUGCCAACAAUCCAGAGAUGAUAUAUAGUGGAAUUCAGACAUAACCACACUUCAAUGAUAUGAUAAAAAUCAUAACAACACAAGCCAUACAAUUUCCUGGCCAACUGGAAGAUGGAUACACAUUCAGGGUAAAGUAAUUUAAGCAGGUAAAUUUUCAUUUCUUGAAUAGAUUCAAAAUUUUCAAGGGACAAGUCACUGGAAAGUAAGAUUUAGUAUCAUCUACAGAGUACAUACGAAGCUUAAAUUUCUGGUGUAAUUAGCAACACAGCCCACUGACAGUAUGUUACUGUGUAAUUGCAUUAAAUACUUGUUUUGUCUUAAUUCACAGCCAACUGCACUGGAGUUGGGGACUUUGAGGCCUGUCUGGGUAAUACAGAUGAAUUCUGUCCUAGAAAUAUUUCUUGUCAGUGUAAAAAUCAAGAACCUUUUUGCAGAUGUGAUUACUUCAGAAUGGGCUGGAAGGAGUACUGGUACAUGGGCCCCAAAUGUAACCACCUUUGGAACACUCUGGAUUUCAUUUUAGUGGCUACUGUUCCUGCAGGGAUACUGAUUAUCAUAGUGGUUGUAAUAUUUUGCGUUGUCUACUGCAUGAAAACAGAAAAAGCUGGGUAAGUGACUGUGGGUGCACUUAUAAGGAGUUUUAUACUCAAAAUGGAAGUAUAGCAAAAGGAGUCUGGUAUUCUGGUUAAUUUUAAACCUCUGGUUGCCAUACUGCCAAAAUAAUAUUUAUACAAUUUAAAACUAAGUCAAAACAUCUUACCUGAGCACCCAGCACUUACUCAGCAUUUUACCACUGCAUGCAGAACUUCACUCUCAGUCACUGGUUUUUUUUAGGGCUCACCAGGCAAGCUUUAAAGAUUGAUAAGUACAUUUACUACUUAAAUUCAACACUACCAAAUGUGUAUUUCUGAUUUAUUUGCACUUAAGGAUUGGCUUUUUUUCCACAGGUUUAAAAAAAAAAGGAGUAAGACCGCUAACCAUUGACAAAAGGCUUGGUGUUCCUCCCAUUCUUCGGUCUCAGAUAUCAGCAAUCUGAGCUCCUUUUUGCUUUCAACACUUUUUCCCAGUGACACCUCUCCCAAGUACACAGACAAUAUGGGUCUGUUUUCCUUUCACUGAGCCCCAGUAAUGUGUCACUGGUACUUCCUCAGACAUAAGCAAGCUGUAAUAAUACACAGCUCUUGUAAAGCCAUUGGCAUGGGACAUCUAUGCAGCACAAAAAACAUUUUUCAAGACUCUCACUAUUGCUAAUGCUCUAAAUUCCCCUUGUUCCCCUCACCAGGAAGCAGGCAAAGCUUCCAUCCCAUGGAGCACAGCAGAACCCUGCAUUCAGUGCUGACACAGCUGCCAGCCUGGGGCACGGGCACCGUCAGCCACCCGGGGUAAGAGAUGUCAGAGGGGGGCACAGCACAGCCCCAGGCCAGGCCAGGCCUGCAGGACUUAGUGAUUCAGCACAAUGGGAUGUGAAUAGCAAAAAAAGGGAAUUCGAGCUUAAAGUCGCCCUAGCAUUUGAUUUCAAAGAUCAGCUGAAUGCAUGUGAGAAAGUGAAAUUCUUCAUCAAGGAUUAAGUGAAUCUAAUUUGCAUAGGAGAAAACAAAGAAUUAGGGAUUAUUUUAACAGAAUGUUCAAACAAGUAUUUCAAUUUUUGUCCUGUUAGAAGACCAGCAUUAAAAAGAGAUUACGCUCUGCUGUGCCAGUUUUCUCCAUUAGACAAGGUGUAGUAGAGAUCAUUGCUUGAACUAGUGGGUAUCAAGAGAAAAGAUGGAUAAAUAGCGUUAAAAACCAAUAUGAAAUACAAAGAAUCACUGAAAGGGAAUAUUUGUGUGUGCGUGUAUUCAUUUCCUCAUUUGGUACUUCAAGGGAUUAUUUUACAUAUUAAGGAGCACACAGUGUGUGAGAAGGAGACAUUGAAUGCUGUCUGAGGAAAGGAAGAAAAUAAUCUAGUCUGCUACAUUAUUUUCUGCUAAAUCCAUCUGUAAAGUGUCAAUAUCUUGGCAACGCAGCAGGUCUCAGCCUGCCUUUACCAGGAGAUGGUGCUGUUCAAUUUUUAACUAACUUGGAAUUUAGUCCUGCUGAUGCUGUUGUUCCGAAGGUGUGAAUCAGACCCAAUCCUUCAGUUCGGCAGGGAAGGAAACCCUUUAUAAAAGGAAUCUUUCUGGGUCAGGGCUGCAGGACUUAAGGCUUCUCACACCCUAGACUGUGAGUUGUAGUUCAGACAUUAUAUUUUGUAAGUGAAAAACUGGUUUAUACCUUCUAACAUACUGUACCUGGUGAGCUGGUUAUUCUAAUUCGUUGUCAUUUUGCUCUGUGUAACCACCUGAUCCCCUACACACAGGUUGCCUCGGUUGGGCAAAUUCCAAAAGCUGUACUGAAAAGACAAGAUUUUAAUGAUGCCUCAAUCCCAAAUCAAAGGGAGAAUUACAGGUAUGCUGCUAUUUUUCUGUCUUUUGUGCUCAUUUUCACUUUAUACCCUGGUUUGGAGACUCAGAAUGACUUUGCAGCUUUGCCAGUGGCACAGCAAGGGACAAAGGUCCAGUAAAUGGCAAAGCUUAAAGCUUUUGACUGGAUUAUUCACAUACGAAAUCUAAAAUACUGCUUUAUCCAGAGGCUUCUCUGGUUUUCCUCUAAUCCCAGAGGCAUUCAUUUCAUUACUGUUUAGAAACGAAGCUUCUGUACUUGUGCUUCCUCACUUGACC
ensembl:lncRNA